AACGAACGCUGGCGGCAGGCCUAACACAUGCAAGUCGAGCGCACCCUUCGGGGUGAGCGGCGGACGGGUUAGUAACGCGUGGGAACGUGCCCAGAUCUGCGGAAUAGCCACUGGAAACGGUGAGUAAUACCGCAUACGCCCUUCGGGGGAAAGAUUUAUCGGAUUUGGAUCGGCCCGCGUUAGAUUAGGUAGUUGGUGGGGUAACGGCCUACCAAGCCUACGAUCUAUAGCUGGUUUUAGAGGAUGAUCAGCAACACUGGGACUGAGACACGGCCCAGACUCCUACGGGAGGCAGCAGUGGGGAAUCUUGGACAAUGGGGCAACCCUGAUCCAGCCAUGCCGCGUGAGUGAUGAAGGCCUUAGGGUCGUAAAGCUCUUUCGCCUGUGAAGAUAAUGACGGUAGCAGGUAAAGAAACCCCGGCUAACUCCGUGCCAGCAGCCGCGGUAAUU
rnacentral:rRNA from 1 species